rnacentral:rRNA from 1 species
AGUGAACGCUGGCGGUAGGCCUAACACAUGCAAGUCGAACGGCAGCACAGUAAGAGCUUGCUCUUACGGGUGGCGAGUGGCGGACGGGUGAGGAAUACAUCGGAAUCUACUUUUUCGUGGGGGAUAACGUAGGGAAACUUACGCUAAUACCGCAUACGACCUACGGGUGAAAGCAGGGGAUCUUCGGACCUUGCGCGAUUGAAUGAGCCGAUGUCGGAUUAGCUAGUUGGCGGGGUAAAGGCCCACCAAGGCGACGAUCCGUAGCUGGUCUGAGAGGAUGAUCAGCCACACUGGAACUGAGACACGGUCCAGACUCCUACAGGAGGCAGCAGUGGGGAAUAUUGGACAAUGGGCGCAAGCCUGAUCCAGCCAUACCGCGUGGGUGAAGAAGGCCUUCGGGUUGUAAAGCCCUUUUGUUGGGAAAGAAAAGCAGCAGGCUAAUACCCCGCUGUUCUGACGGUACCCAAAGAAUAAGCACCGGCUAACUUCGUG